rnacentral:rRNA from 2 species
GCGAACGGGUGAGUAACACGUGGGCAAUCUGCCCUGCAUUCUGGGACAAGCCUUGGAAACGAGGUCUAAUACCGGAUACGACGCAUCUCCGCAUGGGGUGUGCGUGGAAAGCUCCGGCGAUGCAGGAUGAGCCCGCGGCCUAUCAGCUUGUUGGUGGGGUAAUGGCCUACCAAGGCGACGACGGGUAGCCGGCCUGAGAGGGCGACCGGCCACACUGGGACUGAGACACGGCCCAGACUCCUACGGGAGGCAGCAGUGGGGAAUAUUGCACAAUGGGCGAAAGCCUGAUGCAGCGACGCCGCGUGAGGGAUGACGGCCUUCGGGUUGUAAACCUCUUUCAGCAGGGAAGAAGCGCGAGUGACGGUACCUGCAGAAGAAGCACCGGCUAACUACGUGCCAGCAGCCGCGGUAAUACGUAGGGUGCGAGCGUUGUCCGGAUUUAUUGGGCGUAAAGAGCUCGUAGGCGGCUUGUCGCGUCGGAUGUGAAAGCCCGGGGCUUAACUCCGGGUCUGCAUUCGAUACGGGCAGGCUAGAGUGUGGUAGGGGAGAUCGGAAUUCCUGGUGUAGCGGUGAAAUGCGCAGAUAUCAGGAGGAACACCGGUGGCGAAGGCGGAUCUCUGGGCCAUUACUGACGCUGAGGAGCGAAAGCGUGGGGAGCGAACAGGAUUAGAUACCCUGGUAGUCCA